GGGGAGCAUAAAGUAGCAAUACUUUGGUGGCGACCGGCGCACGGGUGAGUAACGCGUAUGCAACCCAUUUAUCAGAGGGGAAUAACCCGGCGAAAGUCGGACUAAUACCGCAUAAAACAGGGACACCGCAUGGUGAUAUUUGUUAAAGAAAUUCGCUGAUAGAUGGGCAUGCGUUCCAUUAGGUAGUUGGUGAGGUAACGGCUCACCAAGCCGACGAUGGAUAGGGGAACUGAGAGGUUGGUCCCCCACACUGGUACUGAGACACGGACCAGACUCCUACGGGAGGCAGCAGUGAGGAAUAUUGGUCAAUGGGCGAGAGCCUGAACCAGCCAAGUCGCGUGAAGGAAGAAGGAUCUAUGGUUCGUAAACUUCUUUUGCAGGGGAAUAAAGUGCAGGACGUGUCCUGUUUUGUAUGUACCCUGAGAAUAAGGAUCGGCUAACUCCGUGCCAGCAGCCGCGGUAAUACGGAGGAUCCGAGCGUUAUCCGGAUUUAUUGGGUUUAAAGGGUGCGUAGGUGGUUUGAUAAGUCAGCGGUGAAAGUUUGCAGCUUAACUGUAAAAAUGCCGUUGAAACUGUCGGACUUGAGUGUAAAUGAGGUAGGCGGAAUGCGUGGUGUAGCGGUGAAAUGCUUAGAUAUCACGAAGAACUCCGAUUG
rnacentral:rRNA from 1 species